ACGCUGGCGGCGUGCCUAAUACAUGCAAGUAGAACGCUGAAAGAGGAGCUUGCUUCUCUGGAUGAGUUGCGAACGGGUGAGUAACGCGUAGGUAACCUGCCUGGUAGCGGGGGAUAACUAUUGGAAACGAUAGCUAAUACCGCAUAAUAGUAGAUGUUGCAUGACAUUUGCUUAAAAGGUGCAAUUGCAUCACUACCAGAUGGACCUGCGUUGUAUUAGCUAGUUGGUGGGGUAACGGCUCACCAAGGCGACGAUACAUAGCCGACCUGAGAGGGUGAUCGGCCACACUGGGACUGAGACACGGCCCAGACUUCUACGGGAGGCAGCAGUAGGGAAUCUUCGGCAAUGGACGGAAGUCUGACCGAGCAACGCCGCGUGAGUGAAGAAGGUUUUCGGAUCGUAAAGCUCUGUUGUAAGAGAAGAACGAGUGUGAGAGUGGAAAGUUCACACUGUGACGGUAUCUUACCAGAAAGGGACGGCUAACUACGUGCCAGCAGCCGCGGUAAUACGUAGGUCCCGAGCGUUGUCCGGAUUUAUUGGGCGUAAAGCGAGCGCAGGCGGUUAGAUAAGUCUGAAGUUAAAGGCUGUGGCUUAACCAUAGUACGCUUUGGAAACUGUUUAACUUGAGUGCAAGAGGGGAGAGUGGAAUUCCAUGUGUAGCGGUGAAAUGCGUAGAUAUAUGGAGGAACACCGGUGGCGAAAGCGGCUCUCUGGCUUGUAACUGACGCUGAGGCUCGAAAGCGUGGGGAGCAAACAGGAUUAGAUACCCUGGUAGUCCACGCCGUAAACGAUGAGUGCUAGGUGUUAGACCCUUUCCGGGGUUUAGUGCCGCAGCUAACGCAUUAAGCACUCCGCCUGGGGAGUACGACCGCAAGGUUGAAACUCAAAGGAAUUGACGGGGGCCCGCAC
rnacentral:rRNA from 1 species